rnacentral:lncRNA from 1 species
UCUCCUGAGGCAGGGGCUGGGCUGAGCGAGACCGUCACUGAGACAACAGUUACCGUGACAACCGAGCCCGAGAACCGGAGCCUUACCAUCAAACUUCCGAAACGGAAGCCAGAGAAAAAGGUGGAAUGGACAAGUGACACUGUGGACAAUGAACGCAUGCGCCGCCGCUCAUCAAAAUGCUGCUCUAUUUAUGAAAAAUCCCGGGCCUUUGGCGAGAGCUCCACGGAAAGUGAUGAGGAGGAAGAAGAGGGCUGUGGUCAUACACACUGUGUACGUGGCCACCGCAAAGGAUGGCGUCCUGCAACCCUGGGACCGACCCCCACCACCCCUCCCCGGCCUCCUGACCCUUCCUAGACCCACGCAGGGCCAAUGCAGC